rnacentral:rRNA from 1 species
GAUGAACGCUGGCGGCGUGCCUAAUACAUGCAAGUCGAGCGAACAGACGAGGAGCUUGCUCCUCUGAUGUUAGCGGCGGACGGGUGAGUAACACGUGGAUAACCUACCUAUAAGACUGGGAUAACUUCGGGAAACCGGAGCUAAUACCGGAUAACAUGUUGAACCGCAUGGUUCAACAGUGAAAGACGGUCUUGCUGUCACUUAUAGAUGGAUCCGCGCCGCAUUAGCUAGUUGGUAAGGUAACGGCUUACCAAGGCAACGAUGCGUAGCCGACCUGAGAGGGUGAUCGGACACACUGGAACUGAGAAACGGUCCAGACUCCUACGGGAGGCAGCAGUAGGGAAUCUUCCGCAAUGGGCGAAAGCCUGACGGAGCAACGCCGCGUGAGUGAAGAAGGUCUUCGGAUCGUAAAACUCUGUUAUUAGGGAAGAACAAAUGUGUAAGUAACUAUGCACGUCUUGACGGUACCUAAUCAGAAAGCCACGGCUAACUACGUG